rnacentral:rRNA from 1 species
AGUGAACGCUGGCGGUAGGCCUAACACAUGCAAGUCGAACGGCAGCACAGUAGCUCUUGCUCUUACGGGUGUCGAGUGGCGGACGGGUGAGGAAAACAACGGAAUCUACUAUUUCGUGGGGGAUAACGGAGGGAAACUUACGCUAAUACCGCAUACGACCUACGGGUGAAAUCAGGGGAUCUUCUGACCUUGCGCGAUUGAAUGAUCCGAUGUCGGAUUAGCUAGUUGGCGGGGUAAAGGCCCACCAAGGCGACGACCCGUAGCUGGUCUGAGAGGAUGAUCAGCCACACUGGAACUGAGACACGGUCCAGACUCCUACGGGAGGCAGCAGUGGGGAAUAUUGGACAAUGGGCGAAAGCCUGAUCCAGCCAUACCGCGUGGGUGAAGAAGGCCUUCGGGUUGUAAAGCCCUUUUGUUGGGAAAGAAAAGCAGCAGGUUAAUACCCCGCUGUUCUGACGGUACCCAAAGAAUAAGCACCGGCUAACUUCGUG